rnacentral:rRNA from 1 species
GGCCGCUGCUAUCUGGCUGGGACUAAGCCAUGCUAGUCCAGGGGUCAGUUCUCCUUGUGAGAACUGGCACCGGUGGACGGCUCAGUAACACGUGGACAACCUACCCUCGGGUGGGGGAUAACCCCGGGAAACUGGGGCUAAUACCCCAUAGGCCAUGGAGACUGGAAUGUCCCAUGGCCGAAAGCUCCGGCGCCCGAGGAUGGGUCUGCGGCGGAUUAGGUAGUUGGUGGGGUAACGGCCCACCAAGCCUAAGGUCCGUACGGGCUGUGAGAGCAGGAGCCCAGAGAUGGACACUGAGACAAGGGUCCAGGCCUACGGGGCGCAGCAGGCGCGAAACCUCCGCAAUGCGGGAAACCGCGACGGGGCUAGCCAGAGUGCCCGUGCAUAGCGCGGGCUGUCCGGGUGCCUAAAAAGCACCCGAUAGCAAGGGAUGGGCAAGGCCGGUGGCAGCCGCCGCGGUAAUACCGGCGUCCCGAGUGGCGGCCACUAUUAUUGGGCCUAAAGCGUCCGUAGCCGGCCCAGUAAGUCCCCCGGGAAAUCUGGUCGCUCAACGAUCAGACUUCCGGGGGAUACUGCUGGGCUAGGGACCGGGAGAGGCCGAGGGUAUUCCCGGGGUAGGGGUGAAAUCCUGUAAUCCCGGGAGGACCACCUGUGGCGAAGGCGCCCGGCUGGAACGGGUCCGACGGUGAGGGACGAAGGCCAGGGGAGCGAACCGGAUUAGAUACCCGGGUAGUCCUGGCUGUAAAGGAUACGGGCUAGGUGUCGGGCGAGCUUCGGGCUCGCCCGGUGCCGAAGGGAAGCCGUUAAGCCCGCCGCCUGGGGAGUACGGCCGCAAGGCUGAAACUUAAAGGAAUUGGCGGGGGAGCACUACAAGGGGUGGAGCGUGCGGUUU